rnacentral:tRNA from 1 species
GGGCCGGUAGCUCAGUUGGUUAGAGCGCACGACUGAUAAUCGUGAGGUCGGAGGUUCAAAUCCUCCUCGGCCCACCA